rnacentral:rRNA from 1 species
UACAGGGGGCGCGAGCGUUGCUCGGAAUCACUGGGCGUAAAGCGUGCGCAGGCGGUGAUGUAAGACAGAUGUGAAAUCCCCGGGCUCAACCUGGGAACUGCAUUUGUGACUGCAUCGCUGGAGUGCGGCAGAGGGGGAUGGAAUUCCGCGUGUAGCAGUGAAAUGCGUAGAUAUGCGGAGGAACACCGAUGGCGAAGGCAAUCCCCUGGGCCUGCACUGACGCUCAUGCACGAAAGCGUGGGGAGCAAACAGG